rnacentral:rRNA from 1 species
UACGGAGGGGGCUAGCGUUGUUCGGAAUUACUGGGCGUAAAGCGCACGUAGGCGGCUUUGCAAGUUAGAGGUGAAAGCCCGGGGCUCAACACCGGAAUUGCCUUUAAAACUGCAUCGCUAGAAUUGUGGAGAGGUAAGUGGAAUUCCGAGUGUAGAGGUGAAAUUCGUAGAUAUUCGGAAGAACACCAGUGGCGAAGGCGACUUACUGGACACAUAUUGACGCUGAGGUGCGAAAGCGUGGGGAGCAAACAGG